rnacentral:lncRNA from 1 species
UAGACAUUCAUUUGCUGUGGCUUGGCAUGACUGACCACAACCACAAGGCUGCUGGAGAACAGACGCUCCACGAUGUAAACAUCUGGGAUUUCAUUGCUUUCAUGGACCUGGUCCAGUUGCUCCACGGAACUUAAGGAGAAAAGCCUGUAUCCAGUUGUGGUUCCAAUUGCCAGGGAGGUGCAGUCCUGGUUGUAGGAGAAGCAGCUGAGCGCCGCCGGCCCCCCCAGGGCUUCGGCCGCGGCCUCCAUGGAGCGGGCGCGGCGGCUCGGCCCGCUCCGGCCCCCGCCGCGCCGCCGCCUCCCCCGCGCCGGCCCCG